rnacentral:rRNA from 1 species
UCUGGUUGAUCCUGCCAGUAUUAUAUGCUGAUGUUAAAGAUUAAGCCAUGCAUGUGUAAGUAUAAAGACCAAGUAGGAUGAAACUGCGGACGGCUCAUUAUAACAGUAAUAGUUUCUUUGGUUAGUAAAAUACAAGGAUAGCUUUGUGAAUGAUAAAGAUAAUACUUGAGACGAUCCAGUUUGUAUUAGUACAAAAUGGCCAAUUCAUUCAAUGAAUUGAGAAAUGACAUUCUAAGUGAGUUAGGAUGCCACGACAAUUGUAGAACACACAGUGUUUAACAAGUAACCAAUGAGAAUUUCUGAUCUAUCAAUCAGUUGGUAGUAUCGAGGACUACCAAGAUUAUAACGGAUAACGAGGAAUUGGGGUUCGACAUCGGAGAGGGAGCUUUACAGAUGGCUACCACUUCUAAGGAAGGCAGCAGGCGCGUAAAUUACCCACUUUCGAAUUGAAGAGGUAGUGACGACACAUAACUCUAGAGUUGAGUAAAAUCAAUUCUUGAAGGAAUGAGUGUAGGAGGUAAAUUCUCCUACGAAAUCAAUUGGAGGGCAAGUCUGGUGCCAGCAGCCGCGGUAAUUCCAGCUCCAAUAGUGUAUAUUAAAGUUGCUGUGAUUAAAACGCUCGUAGUUGAAUUAAAAUGUGGUUUUAUACAUUUUGAAGACUUUAUGUAAGUAAAGUUUCUAGAAAUGUUAAAUUAAAAUCAAAGAAGGAAACAAUUCAAGUAAUUGAGUUGUUAUUACUUUGAAUAAAAUAAGGUGUUUAAAGCAAAACAUUAUGUUAAUGAAUAUUCAAGCAUGGGACAAUGCUGAGGGGAUGUCAAUAAGACAUUUCGAGAGAAGGAUUAAAAGGAACAAUUGGGGUGAUUCAGAAAAUAACGGGAGAGGUGAAAAUCCAUGAUCGCUAUAAGAUGCACGAGAGCGAAAGCAUUUCACUCAACUGUGUCCAUUAAUCAAGAACGAAAGUUAGGGGAUCGAAGACGUACAGAUACCGUCGUAGUCCUAACUAUAAACGAUGUCAACCAAGGAUUGGAUGAAAUUCAGAUGUACAAAGAUAGAGAAGCAUUGUUUCUAGAUCUGAGUAUAUCAAUAUUACCUUGUUCAGAACUUAAAGAGAAAUCUUGAGUUUAUGGACUUCAGGGGGAGUAUGGUCACAAGGCUGAAACUUAAAGGAAUUGACGGAAGGGCACACCAGGAGUGGACUGCGGCUUAAUUUGACUCAACACGGGAAAACUUACCAAGACCGAACAGUAGAAGGAAUGACAGAUUAAGAGUUCUUUCAUGAUUUAUUGGGUAGUGGUGCAUGGCCGUUCUUAGUUGGUGGAGUGAUUUGUCAGGUUAAUUCCGGUAACGAACGAGACUGAAACCUAUUAAUUAGUUUUCUGCCUAUAAGACAGAAAUGUUCGCAAGAACAGGUGCGUAAGUACCACUUCUUAAAGGGACACAUUUCAAUUGUCCUA